rnacentral:rRNA from 1 species
AUUGAACGCUGGCGGCAUGCUUUACACAUGCAAGUCGAACGGUAACAGGCCGCAAGGUGCUGACGAGUGGCGAACGGGUGAGUAAUGCAUCGGAACGUGCCCAGUCGUGGGGGAUAACUACUCGAAAGAGUAGCUAAUACCGCAUACGAUCUAUAGAUGAAAGCGGGGGACCGUAAGGCCUCGCGCGAUUGGAGCGGCCGAUGUCAGAUUAGGUAGUUGGUGGGGUAAAGGCUCACCAAGCCAACGAUCUGUAGCUGGUCUGAGAGGACGACCAGCCACACUGGGACUGAGACACGGCCCAGACUCCUACGGGAGGCAGCAGUGGGGAAUUUUGGACAAUGGGCGCAAGCCUGAUCCAGCAAUGCCGCGUGCAGGAAGAAGGCCUUCGGGUUGUAAACUGCUUUUGUACGGAACGAAACGGCUCUGGUUAAUACCCGGGGCUAAUGACGGUACCGUAAGAAUAAGCACCGGCUAACUACGUG